rnacentral:rRNA from 1 species
UUGUUGGUGAGGUAAAAGCUCACCAAGGCUUCGAUCAGUAGCUGGUCUGAGAGGACGACCAGCCACACUGGGACUGAGACACGGCCCAGACUCCUACGGGAGGCAGCAGUGGGGAAUUUUGGACAAUGGGGGCAACCCUGAUCCAGCCAUGCCGCGUGAGUGAAGAAGGCCUUCGGGUUGUAAAGCUCUUUCAGCCGGAACGAAACGGUCACGGCUAAUACCUGUGACUACUGACGGUACCGGAAGAAGAAGCACCGGCUAGCUACGUGCCAGCAGCCGCGGUAAUACGUAGGGUGCGAGCGUUAAUCGGAAUUACUGGGCGUAAAGCGUGCGCAGGCGGUUUUGUAAGUCAGAUGUGAAAUCCCCGGGCUUAACCUGGGAACUGCGUUUGAAACUGCAAGGCUAGAGUGUGGCAGAGGGGGGUGGAAUUCCGCGUGUAGCAGUGAAAUGCGUAGAGAUGUGGAGGAACACCGAUGGCGAAGGCAGCCCCCUGGGUCAACACUGACGCUCAGGCACGAAAGCAUGGGGAGCAAACAGGAUUAGAUACCCUGGUAGUCCAUGCCCUAAACGAUGUCAACUAGUUGUCGGGUCUUAACGGGCUUGGUAACGUAGCUAACGCGUGAAGUUGACCGCCUGGGGAGUACGAUCGCAAGAUUAAAACUCAAAGGAAUUGACGGGGACCCGCACAAGCGGUGGAUUAUGUGGAUUAAUUCGAUGCAACGCGAAAAACCUUACCUACCCUUGACAUGUAUUGAAACCCACAGAGAUGUGGGUGUGCCCGAAAGGGAACGAUAACACAGGUGCUGCAUGGCUGUCGUCAGCUCGUGUCGUGAGAUGUUGGGUUAAGUCCCGCAACGAGCGCAACCCUUGUCAUUAAUUGCCAUCAUUUAGUUGGGCACUUUAAUGAGACUGCCGG